rnacentral:rRNA from 1 species
AUACGUAGGUGACAAGCGUUAUCCGGAUUUACUGGGUGUAAAGGGCGUGUAGGCGGUUUAGCAAGUCAGAAGUGAAAUUCCCGGGCUUAACUUGGGCGCUGCUUCUGAAACUGCUUUACUUGAGUGCUGGAGGGGAUAGCGGAAUUCCUAGUGGAGCGGUAAAAUGCGCAGAUAUUAGGAAGAACACCGGUGGCGAAGGCGGCUAUCUGGACAGUAACUGACGCUGAGGCGCGAAAGCGUGGGGAGCAAACAGGAUUAGAUACCCUGGUAGUCCACGCGGUAAACGAUGAAUGCUAGGUGUUGCGGGUAUCGACCCCUGCAGUGCCGGAGUAAACACAAUAAGCAUUCCGCCUGGGGAGUACGGCCGCAAGGUUGAAACUCAAAUGAAUUGGCGGGG